rnacentral:snRNA from 1 species
CCUGGCUCCCUGUAUGCC